rnacentral:rRNA from 1 species
GACGAACGCUGGCGGCGUGCUUAACACAUGCAAGUCGAGCGGAAAGGCCACUUCGGUGGUACUCGAGCGGCGAACGGGUGAGUAACACGUGAGUAAUCUGCCCCUGGCUUUGGGAUAGCCACCGGAAACGGUGAUUAAUACCGGAUACGACCACUUCUCGCAUGGGAUGGGGGUGGAAAGUUUUUUCGGCCAGGGAUGUGCAGGCGGCCUAUCAGCUUGAUGGUGAGGUAAUGGCUCACCAUGGCUUCGACGGGUAGCCGGGCCUGAGAGGGUGACCGGUCACACUGGGACUGAGACACGGCCCAGACUCCUACGGGAGGCAGCGGUGGGGAAUAUUGGACAAUGGGCGGAAGCCUGAUCCAGCAACGCCGCGUGAGGGAUGACGGCCUUCGGGUUGUAAACCUCUUUCAGCAGGGACGAAGCGCAAGUGACGGUACCUGCAGAAGAAGCACCGGCCAACUACGUGCCAGCCGCCGCGGUAA